AUUGAACGCUGGCGGCAGGCCUAACACAUGCAAGUCGAACGGCAGCACGGGAGCAAUCCUGGUGGCGAGUGGCGAACGGGUGAGUAAUAUAUCGGAACGUGCCCAGUCGUGGGGAUAACGUAGCGAAAGCUACGCUAAUACCGCAUACGAUCUACGGAUGAAAGCGGGGGGAUCGCAAGACCUCGCGCGAUUGGAGCGGCCGAUAUCAGAUUAGCUAGUUGGUGGGGUAAAGGCCUACCAAGGCAUCGAUCAGUAGCUGGUCUGAGAGGACGACCAGCCACACUGGAACUGAGACACGGUCCAGACUCCCUACGGGAGGCAGCAGUGGGGAAUUUUGGACAAUGGGGGCAACCCUGAUCCAGCAAUGCCGCGUGAGUGAAGA
rnacentral:rRNA from 1 species